rnacentral:rRNA from 1 species
CCUACGGGGGGCAGCAGUGGGGAAUAUUGGGCAAUGGGCGCGAGCCUGACCCAGCAACGCCGCGUGAAGGAAGAAGGCCUUCGGGUUGUAAAGCUCUUUAAUCAGGGACGAAGAAUGACGGUACCUGAAGAAUAAGCUCCGGCUAACUACGUGCCAGCAGCCGCGGUAAUACGUAGGGAGCAAGCGUUAUCCGGAUUUACUGGGUGUAAAGGGCGUGUAGGCGGGCCUGCAAGUCAGAAGUGAAAUCUGGGGGCUUAACCCCCAAACUGCUUUUGAAACUGUGGGUCUUGAGUGAUGGAGAGGCA